GGGAAGCCGAAGAUGAGGCCGGUCGAGCGGACGCUGCCACCUGAGCGGUGGCCUGCUCUUCAUCCCGACGUAGGGAACCACGUCAGGCUUCAUCGAAGACGAGCUGACCUGAUCGUUCAGGAUCAAACGCUCAGUUGGUGGCGCAGCUGAA